AACGAACGCUGGCGGCAUGCCUAACACAUGCAAGUCGAACGAGACCUUCGGGUCUAGUGGCGCACGGGUGCGUAACGCGUGGUAACCUGCCCUUAGGUUCGGAAUAACUCCCCGAAAGGGGUGCUAAUACCGGAUAAUGUCUUCGGACCAAAGAUUUAUCGCCUUUGGAUGGGCCCGCGUUGGUUUAGCUAGUUGGUAGGGUAAAAGCCUACCAAGGCGACGAUCCAUAGCUGGUCUGAGAGGAUGAUCAGCCACACUGGGACUGAGACACGGCCCAGACUCCUACGGGAGGCAGCAGUGGGGAAUAUUGGACAAUGGGCGAAAGCCUGAUCCAGCAAUGCCGCGUGAGUGAUGAAGGCCUUAGGGUUGUAAAGCUCUUUUACCCGGGAUGAUAAUGACAGUACCGGGAGAAUAAGCACCGGCUAACUCCGUG
rnacentral:rRNA from 1 species